rnacentral:rRNA from 1 species
UACGGGGGGGGCAAGCGUUGUUCGGAAUUACUGGGCGUAAAGGGCUCGUAGGUGGCCAACUAAGUCGGACGUGAAAUCCCUCAGCUUAACUGGGGAACUGCGUCCGAUACUGGAUGGCUUGAGUUUGGGAGAGGGAUGCGGAAUUCCAGGUGUAGCGGUGAAAUGCGUAGAUAUCUGGAGGAACACCGGUGGCGAAGGCGGCAUCCUGGACCAACACUGACGCUGAGAAGCGAAAGCAUGGGGAGCGAACAGG